UGGGGAAUAUUGGUCAAUGGGCGAAAGCCUGAUCCAGCCAUGCCGCGUGUGUGAAGAAGGUCUUCGGAUUGUAAAGCACUUUAAGUUGGGAGGAAGGGCAGUAAGCGAAUACCUUGCUGUUUUGACGUUACCGACAGAAUAAGCACCGGCUAACUCUGUGCCAGCAGCCGCGGUAAUACAGAGGGUGCAAGCGUUAAUCGGAAUUACUGGGCGUAAAGCGCGCGUAGGUGGUUCGUUAAGUUGAAUGUGAAAGCCCCGGGCUCAACCUGGGAACUGCAUCCAAAACUGGCGAGCUAGAGUAGGGCAGAGGGUGGUGGAAUUUCCUGUGUAGCGGUGAAAUGCGUAGAUAUAGGAAGGAACACCAGUGGCGAAGGCGACCACCUGGGCUCAUACUGACACUGAGGUGCGAAAGCGUGGGGAGCAAACAGG
rnacentral:rRNA from 1 species